GCCACAGCCAUAUCACCCUGUAGCCCAAGACUGAUUGCUCACUGAAGCUAAGCAGGGUUGAGCUUGGCCAGUACCUGGAUGGGAGACCUCCUGGGAAAACUAGGUUGCUGCUGGAA
rnacentral:rRNA from 1 species